rnacentral:rRNA from 1 species
UACGGAGGGUGCAAGCGUUAUCCGGAUUCACUGGGUUUAAAGGGUGCGUAGGUGGGCAGGUAAGUCAGUGGUGAAAUCUCCGGGCUUAACCCGGAAACUGCCAUUGAUACUAUCUGUCUUGAAUACCGUGGAGGUGAGCGGAAUAUGUCAUGUAGCGGUGAAAUGCUUAGAUAUGACAUAGAACACCAAUUGCGAAGGCAGCUCACUACACAAUCAUUGACGCUGAGACGCGAAAGCGUGGGGAGCGAACAGG